AGUAAGCAGGCUAAAGCAUGAGAUCAGAAUCCGUGUCGCUAGCAGGGCAGCCACCCAGCAGUCGACCGGUGCUGAUGGCAGCCUGCCACACUUCUGAACAGACAGUGACAUCAAUCUGCUGGAUGCUAGAGGGAGUCGAUGGAGGGGCUGUUCAGAUGUUCUCCUAACUCCAGUGCCCAGCUGAGGCUGGGAUGUCGGUGUUCUUCCCACUGUGGCUACGACUGUUACAGAAUCGCCACAGCUGCGAUGGUCGGAAGCGUCAUCACUCGCUUUUCGGUCUUCUGCAUAGAGGACACCAUUCGCCAGAGCCCUGGGAGUCCUCCUCCUACGAGGAUGUGCUGAUGCUUUAGCUAAUAGCGGGUGUUACAUUAGCAUCCAAGGUCAGCUGCGCUGUCUGAGGAACCGGAUUGAAGGGCACGUCCUUCCAACUCAUGGUUACACCUGCUUUGUGAGAGCUACCUGAUCCAUCAGUGAAUACAGUUCCAGCCCCAGAGAGAGAGGAAGACCACCCCUUGCAUGCCCCCUUACUGGGCAUCGGGUCCACAACCUAGGCAUGUGCCCUUGACCAGGAAUCGAACCGGUGACCUCUUGGUGCAUGGGUUGACACUCAACCACUGAGCCACACCGGCCGGGCUUAAGUAACAUUUUAAUCACUUGUUCAUAAUCUGAGUCAGUUACCCCUGGCGUCGCUUGAAG